rnacentral:lncRNA from 1 species
CUAAAAUUAAAGGCCAACUACUCAACCUGGAUCCUACAAACAUGCUUUAACAGAAAAGUGUUUACAAUUAAAAUGUACCAAGUUGGGAAGGCUAUGUGGCUCUACAGUGUACAUUACCACUGAUGCCUAUAGAGUCGAACAGAUUAGUACUGUUUCUUAUUGAAUGAAGACUUCAUUUUCUGCUGGGGCACAGCACUAACCAGCUGUACUUUCAGGGAGAGGAGCCAGGAGCUGAACAUGAUGACACAGUCAGGAUCUCAUCCCACAGACUGCAAGCAAGGUUCACUGGCAGGAACUACCACUGACAUCCAGCAAUGUGAUUGUUGUAUAUAUCUAGCUCACAGCCAGUUAUACAAUGGAUCCAUUACAGCUGCAUCCAAAGUGGAGGACUUAACACAUUUAUUGCCUUUUUGACAAGAAAAGGAUGGGAAAGAACUAAAUGUACCUGCUACACAAACUUUGUGUUUAAGAAAAAGGUAUGUUUAUUUGCCAGGAACUCUGAAGAGGUAAGAAAGAAGUCACAUGAGAA